GACGAACGCUGGCGGCGUGCUUAACACAUGCAAGUCGAACGGAAAGGCCCUGCUUUUGUGGGGUGCUCGAGUGGCGAACGGGUGAGUAACACGUGAGUAACCUGCCCUUGACUUUGGGAUAACUUCAGGAAACUGGGGCUAAUACCGGAUAGGAGCUCCUGCUGCAUGGUGGGGAUUGGAAAGUUUCGGCGGUUGGGGAGGGACUCGCGGCUUAUCAGCUUGUUGGUGGGGUAGUGGCUUACCAAGGCUUUGACGGGUAGCCGGCCUGAGAGGGUGACCGGCCACAUUGGGACGGCGAUACGGCCCAGACGACUGCGUGAGGCAGCAGUGGGGAAUAUUGCACAAUGGGCGGAAGCCUGAUGCAGCAACGCCGCGUGCGGGAUGACGGCCUUCGGGUUGUAAACCGCUUUCGCCUGUGACGAAGCGUGAGUGACGGUAAUGGGUAAAGAAGCACCGGCUAACUACGUGCCAGCCGCCGCAGUAACAC
rnacentral:rRNA from 1 species